UCAUUUUUUCUUCUUGUUUUAUUUGUUUACUUUUAUGUAUAUGUAUUUAUGGGGUACAAGUGCAAUGUUGUUGCAUGCAUAGAUUGCAUGGUGGUGAAAUCAGGGCUUUUAGAGUAUUCACCACCCAAAUACUGCAUAUUGUAUCCAUUAAGCAAUUUCUCAUCAUCCACCUCAUUUCCGCUCCCUCAACAUUUUGAGUCUCCGGUGUCUACCAUGCUGUACUCUAUGUCCAUAUGUACACAUGAUUUAGCUCCCACUUAUAUGUGAGAACAUGCAAGAUUUGUCUUUCUACGUCUGAGUUGUUUCUAUCACAAUAAUGGCCUCUAGUUCCAUCUGUGUUACUGCAAAAGAUAUGAUUUUAUUCUCUCUUUAUGGCUGAAUAAUAUUCCAUUAUGUCUAUAUACAAAUUUUCUUUAUCCAAUCAUCAGAAAAAUCUCUCACUCUCUUUAGGUGAGAAAACAGAAGCUCCAGAAAUUAAUUAGUCCUCCCCAGCUAUAACUGCUGGUAAGCAGUACUUUGUAUGAAGCCGAUGUUCUCAAACUGUGUCUUGCUGCCAUCCAUCAAUUGCAACAGCCCGGAGUUGUCAUAAUAGCAGCAGUACUUUAAAAUUUGGACAGCAAUUUGAACUAUAGACAAAAGUCACUAUAGCCUAUAAUGGACUGAUACAACAAAAACUUCCACAAAGGACACAUUGGACAUGGUUAGGGAAGAAAGGACAUGAAUCAAAACAGAAGUGGAGUUUUUUUGUUUCAACACAUAGACAUUUCUCAAUUUCCUCACACAAAUGGAAGCCACUUAUGGGCUAUAAAAUUCAAAAAACAUAUCACACAUGCACAUGCAUGCUUAUAGCAGCACAACUCGCAAUUGCAAAGAUAUGGAACCAACCUAAGUGCCCAUCAACCAACGAGUUGAUAAAGAAAAUGUGGUAUAUACACACCAUGGAAUACUCCUCAGCCAUAAAAAGGAACAAAAUAAUGCUUUUUGCAGGAACCUGGAUGGAGCCGGAGGCUAUGUUUCUAAGUGAAGUGUAAUAACUCAGGAAUGGACAACCAAAUAUUGUAUGUUCUCACUCAUAAGUGGGAGCUAAGCUAUGAGGAUGCAAAGGCAUAAGAAUGAUAAAAUGGACUUUGGGGACUUCGGGGAGGUGGGGAUGGGGAUGAGGGAUAAAAGUCUACACAUUGGGUAUAGUCUACACUGCUUGGGAGAUAGGUGGAUCCAAAUCUCAGAAAUUACCACCAAAGAACUUAUCCAUGUGCCCCCAAAACCACCCAUACCCCAGAAAUUAUUGAAAUAAAAAUAAAAAAUAAUUAUUAAAACCAAACCAAAACAAACCAAAAUAUGACACUGUGGUACAUAAAUAGUUUGGUUUAAAUUGGAUUCAGUUUAAGAUUUUUGAUAUUAGAAUUAAAUAUAGUUUCCUUUCUGAUAUAACAGAAAGUGUAAAUACCUCAAACAAACAAGAUGAUGAAGGCAGCUUAUGAAUAAGUAACACAAAAAUCCUCCCAAAUAAUUUCACCUAUCAGGGUCUUUUUUCUAGAGCCAGUGUGCAUAGAAGAAUACCUCAACUUGACUGGUUAGAAUAAGCCUUAUGUCCAAAUACACGUGUUUUCAUCUAUAUUUGUUGAUUGUGCCCUUCUUGAAUUGGGGUGAAAGAAAGAUCGUAGAUGACUUCUUGCUCCAUAGCCAAAUAUAUGGAGAAGUAAAAAUAAAAAAAGAAUUUAUUGGAUAAACAGAUGAUGAUCAUUAUAUCAAUAGAAAUUGGAAAAGAAGCUUUGAUGUAAUUUAUUCAUUCACCCAAUUCACUGUAUUCUGAGUUUAGAAAAAUAGUACAAGAUAAAAAUUAUUUCAAUAUAUAAUCAUUCCCUCCAGAAACUUAAAAUAACAUUAAACAGUAGCUUAAAAGAGCCCAUAAAUAUGUUCUAAAGAGAGAAAAGAAUCAAAGUACAAGAGGAAGUUGAGUCCAAAAGAAGACAUAUGUGUGGGAAGAUGGAAUCACUCCAGACACUCAGCACUGAGGAAGGACACUUGAGCUGCACACCUCAAUGAUUUGCAAAGAUCAGAGCUGCUUAUUGGGGAUUUAAUCUAGCCUGCAGGUAUGUUUUCUUUAGCUAACUCAAUUUUUUUUAAACAUUUUAAAUUAGUUUUACAUAUUUAAAAAUUAGGAAACUGCACACCAAAUUCCAGUGUCCCAGCUUCUCUUAAAAAAUUAUAAGAUCCAGUCACUCUGGGUCUGCAUUUUGUCAUGGCCUGGAGCUGUAGCAUUGGAGUUUGUCACCUGGGUGUAGAAAUAACAGAAAAGCAGGUGCAGUGAUAAGCACGAAGGAAAUUCGCCAGGGGCCUUCAGACUAAUCUGACUAGGACACAGGGCUUUCAGGGAGAAAACUUUGAAAAGAUCAGUUGGAACCAAACUAAAGGCAUUUGGAAGUUAAAGGCAGGCAAUUUGGAUUUAUCUGAAAGGUUCUUCCCACUAUGUCCCCAUAGAUUAUUCUUAUUUUAUGACUUGAGCUGAAGUUUCUGAGGUUAAAAUCAAAUAAUGUCAGAAUUUUUCAACUUGUUCAAAACAUAAUUAAUAGGGACUUUUCUUCACCCCAUUUUUUUUUUGCAAUUUUUCUAUCCAAAAUACUUUUCUUGAAAUUUGGCACCCACUGCUUGUGUUCAUCUGCUAGCAAAUGUUAGUCCAUGUCAAUAUGUGAAGAUAGCCAAGGAUGAUUUAUUCCAAAAUAUAGACUUAGUUGAUUGCGUUUAGUCUAACAGCUUUUGCUUUCUUGAGAUCUUUCCCUUAGAGUUUAUAUUUUAUAGUACAUAUCACACAGUCUGUUAAAAAAUAUUGCUUCUAAUUUGAAUAAUUAACAUUUCAUAGUUUUCUGUGAACAGCACGGUAUUUAUCUAAAGGAGAGAGAAGGAUAUAAGAUUUUUGAGCCUCUAUCAAGUGCCAGGUGUUGUGCUAAAUGCUCUAUAUGUAAUAUCUGAUUUUAUUCUCUCCACAAAUGCUUCAGAUUAGGGGACAAAGUCUCCAAGAGGACAUGCACUCUACCCAAAGAUGCAUAGAUAGCUACUAAGGGCAGGAUCGGGAUUUAACCUCAGGCAUGUCUGAAGCUAAAGUACUUGCUUUUUUUUUUUUUUUUUUUUUUUUUAAUUUAUGACAUUCCUGGAGCAACGUGACUUAGUUAUUCUUGAACUUGAAUACAUUUGAGAAUCAUGACUGUAGGCAAUUGGGAGCCACUGACUGUCUUUGUUCCUUAUUGUGUGUGCAUUUUUUGUUGUUGUUGUUAAAUAAUCCAGUAUCCUGUAUUUUGAAAGGGUGGAUUUGGUAUUGCAGUGUAGGAUUGGUAACACAGAACAACUGAGGCAGGAAUACUGACACAUUGAAGAUAAAUGGUGCCCAAAGAC
rnacentral:lncRNA from 10 species